UUGAACAAUAUUUAUUGAAAUAAAUAGUAAGAAAUAAUUAUUAUGUUAUAGCCAAUAAUAUUAAACUCAUUAAUGAAUGUAAUUAAAUUGAUUGAUCAAUCAUACGCUAUUAAUCAACUUAAAUAUUAAAAAUUGUAACACUUCUCUCUGAAACGCGAAUUUCAUGAAUUAUUUUGAUCGGUGAGCUAUUUUAUAAAUAAUUAUAAACAAUAAAAAAAGAGGAUUUGAAAUAAUAGAAAAAGUGAUUGAUAUAAUGAGGUGGUGUUAAGUGCUUACAAAAGUGUAAUUGUGAAAUAAUACUCCAAUUUGAAAUUCUUAUCAAGGAAUUUGAAUACAAGAUAAAGCUUGGAAGCCAGCUCUUCUCAGCCUACUGGCCUUCAUGCUUCUAAUCAACGGAUGCAUGUACCCAUUAGGGUGCUUAUUGUGCGUGGGUGUACGACCAAUACAUUGAGGGACAAAGUCCAAGGAUCAAUGAAAAUUGCGUGACUGCUGGAAAACAAAAAGAAGAGCCAAAAGCAUUAUACACUUUCAGGGUGUCUAUAUAUAAUACUUGAAAAAGUUAAAUGCUAGCAAGCUAUCUAGACGAUCGCGCAUCUGCCGGGCAUUUUGGUGAAUCAUUCGGGUGUCUGAACUAUAUUAUGGCUUCCGUACAUAGUCCACGGGUGUUCCGGAAUAUUGCCUUCCCCGUUCUAGAGCAAAAGCUUCACGGUCAGCUGGAGAAGUCGGCUGUAAGUAUGAAGUACAUAAAGCCAACAAAUCGUUGGAUUCUCAAAAACGCACGCCCUCGAAAAGGCCAUAGGUGUAUCAAGCUAGCGGAAUGAACAAUCCACUCAUCAGUGUCCACGUGUCAGGCACGUGCCAGAGUGUGCUAGGACAACUGGUGUCCUAAAAGUUCUCUAGCACCAUGUGUACACUCCAGUAGGAAUAAAAGAAGACACACGUCGAUGUGGGAUGACAUUUAGUUCAUGAAUGAACACACUCAAGAUCGACUUGGAUUUAAUUUUAUCAGAAAAAACGGAAUAAUUUUAAUACUAAUGUUUUAUUUAUCAUCACAUUUUGAUGAUUAGAUAUGGUAAAAGGAUACAUGAUGAAAAACUAAUAGCCCGCAUGAUCAAAAAGAGAAGCGAAAGAGAUUACUAACAACUUGAAAGUUAGCUUUUAAUCGCAAUUCUGACAAUAGUAUUGUUGGACUCAAGAGCUGUAUCACCAACUGGUAGUAUUGGAGCGCGAGGUGAGUAAAUUCAGUGACAUAUGGGUUCAAAAGAUCGACAAGUCAUAGGGUUGCUA